UAAAACUCAAAUGAAUUGACGGGGGCCCGCACAAGCGGUGGAGCAUGUGGUUUAAUUCGAUGCAACGCGAAGAACCUUACCUGGUCUUGACAUCCACAGAAGAAUCCAGAGAUGGAUUUGUGCCUUCGGGAACUGUGAGACAGGUGCUGCAUGGCUGUCGUCAGCUCGUGUUGUGAAAUGUUGGGUUAAGUCCCGCAACGAGCGCAACCCUUAUCCUUUGUUGCCAGCGGUUAGGCCGGGAACUCAAAGGAGACUGCCAGUGAUAAACUGGAGGAAGGUGGGGAUGACGUCAAGUCAUCAUGGCCCUUACGACCAGGGCUACACACGUGCUACAAUGGCGCAUACAAAGAGAAGCGACCUCGCGAGAGCAAGCGGACCUCAUAAAGUGCGUCGUAGUCCGGAUUGGAGUCUGCAACUCGACUCCAUGAAGUCGGAAUCGCUAGUAAUCGUGGAUCAGAAUGCCACGGUGAAUACGUUCCCGGGCCUUGUACACACCGCCCGUCACACCAUGGGAGUGGGUUGCAAAAGAAGUAGGUAGCUUAACCUUCGGGAGGGCGCUUACCACUUUGUGAUUCAUGACUGGGGUGAAGUCGUAACAAGGUAACCGUAGGGGAACCUGCGGUUGGAUCACCUCCUUACCUUAAAGAAGC
rnacentral:rRNA from 1 species